rnacentral:rRNA from 1 species
GMAGAACSUUACCCACCUUUGACAUGGCAGGAAGUUUCCAGAGAUGGAUUCGUGCUCGAAAGAGAACCUGCACACAGGUGCUGCAUGGCUGUCGUCAGCUCGUGUYGWGAGRUGKUGGGUUAAGUCCCGCAACGAGCGCAACCCUUGUCAUUAGUUGCUACAUUCAGUUGAGCACUCUAAUGAGACUGCCGGUGACAAACCGGAGGAAGGUGGGGAUGACGUCAAGUCCUCAUGGCCCUUAUAGGUGGGGCURCACACGUCAUACAAUGGCUGGUACAGAGGGUUGCCAACCCGCGAGGGSGAGCUAAYCCCAUWAAACCWRYCGUAGUCCGGAUCGCAGUCUGCAACUCGACUGCGUGAAGUCGGAAUCGCUAGUAAUCGCGGAUCAGCAUGCCGCGGUGAAUACGUUCCCGGGUCUUGUAC